rnacentral:lncRNA from 1 species
AAAAGCUUAUGUCUAAAUUUAGCCCUAUAAGCAUGUUUUGCUUUUUUCUCAUCAAAACAUUUUAGAAGUAUUAAUUAGGAGUGUUGAAAGAGGCUACUCAAGAAUCCCAUGGCCAUCCUGUAUAGGUAAACACAUGUUCACCUUCAAAUUGCAUGAAGAUGUAAUCUUCAAUUAACAUCUUGUACUAAACAACAGUGGCCCAUCCUGCUUUCCUGGCAAACCUCCAGAUUUCACCUUGUCAGCAGACCUUGAGAAAAAGCUAUGCCUGUUUGUCAGUUUCGUUACUGUCUUUGAUGAUUUGGUGUUGCCCAUCGUCAGCCAUGUCACUAAACUGAUUUCUCUGUGGAAUACAGAUGUGUCAGCUGUCAAGCUCACAGUCUGAACAGCACGUGCCUCCUGAAGUUCUUGCUGAACUUGGAAGCAACACCCUGGAAGCUGAUGGAGCUACACAAACAUGUGAUCCCAACAGAAAGAAGAAGCGGGCUCUUUUAUGCAACAUACUUUAUGUGAGAGACCUUACUGUGAACUCAGACGGUGAAAUACUUGCCUGUUGGUCUGUUCAAAAGCUGAAAGAUCUUUUUGUAAGUCACCUCAAUUCUAUACGAGAG